GACGAACGCUGGCGGCGUGCCUAAUACAUGCAAGUAGAACGCACAGUUUAUACCGUAGCUUGCUACACCAUAGACUGUGAGUUGCGAACGGGUGAGUAACGCGUAGGUAACCUGCCUGGUAGCGGGGGAUAACUAUUGGAAACGAUAGCUAAUACCGCAUAAUAUUAAUUAUUGCAUGAUAAUUGAUUGAAAGAUGCAACUGCAUCACUACCAGAUGGACCUGCGUUGUAUUAGCUAGUAGGUGAGGUAACGGCUCACCUAGGCGACGAUACAUAGCCGACCUGAGAGGGUGAUCGGCCACACUGGGACUGAGACACGGCCCAGACUCCUACGGGAGGCAGCAGUAGGGAAUCUUCGGCAAUGGACGAAAGUCUGACCGAGCAACGCCGCGUGAGUGAAGAAGGUUUUCGGAUCGUAAAGCUCUGUUGUAAGAGAUGAACGGGUGUGAGAGUGGAAAGUUCACACUGUGACGGUAUCUUACCAGAAAGGGACGGCUAACUACGUG
rnacentral:rRNA from 1 species